rnacentral:tRNA from 4 species
GCUGGCUUAGAUCAAUGGUAGAUCGUCUCCCUCCUAAGGAGAAGGCUGCGGGUUCGAGUCCCGUGGUCAGUG